GGGCGAUUAACUCAGCGGUAGAGUACUACCUUCACACGGUAGGAGCCCCGAGUUCGAAUCUCGGAUCGCCCACCA
rnacentral:tRNA from 1 species